rnacentral:rRNA from 1 species
GAUGAACGCUGGCGGCGUGCCUAAUACAUGCAAGUCGAGCGAACAGAUGAGGAGCUUGCUCCUCUGACGUUAGCGGCGGACGGGUGAGUAACACGUGGAUAACCUACCUAUAAGACUGGGAUAACUUCGGGAAACCGGAGCUAAUACCGGAUAAUAUAUUGAACCGCAUGGUUCAAUAGUGAAAGACGGUUUUGCUGUCACUUAUAGAUGGAUCCGCGCCGCAUUAGCUAGUUGGUAAGGUAACGGCUUACCAAGGCAACGAUGCGUAGCCGACCUGAGAGGGUGGAUCGCCAAACUGGAACUGAAACACGGUCCAGACUCCUACGGGAGGCAGCAGUAGGGAAUCUUCUGCAAUGGGCGAAAGCCUGACGGAGCAACGCCGCGUGAGUGAUGAAGGUCUUCGGAUCGUAAAACUCUGUUAUUAGGGAAGAACAAAUGUGUAAGUAACUAUGCACGUCUUGACGGUACCUAAUCAGAAAGCCACGGCUAACUACGUG